GAGUGGUCAGCUGGGGCUGCACCCAGCACCCUGGCCCUCUCUGUGAUGGAGGAAGAGCCCUGGCUUCCCAGGGGGGCUGCAACCCGACCGAAACUGGCGGAAGACACACAGAGAGCUACCUAGCAAUGAACCCAAUUCAUGGAGGGGACCAACGUUAGCAAGAGAUGGAUCCCAGACCUCAACGGCUGUCUCAUUUGGGGUAAGAAUCGGUUUGACGGGACACUCUAGAGCUUGUUCAAUGGCAUCUGCAGCUGGUUUUAGAAGCCGAAAUACUUCAACAGACACAGAGACAGGCCUGAAGACAGGAGGAGGAAAGAGAGCAGAGCCUCGCCCUUCAUCAGAAACGGGGAGCCUUCGGGGCAGGUACCCUAAGAGAGGACAAGCAUCAGCACAGCCGUUCGUCUCUGGGAAUUAGGGUAAGUGCCCUGAUGGUCAUUGCCUUAGUCAGGAUUCUCCCGGGAAAACAGAACCCACAGCAAGAUCCGUAAAUAUUAUGAGAUUUUUAGAAGAAUUGCCUCACAGGCCUGUGGGGACGGGCAAGUCCAAACUCCGUAGGGCAGGCUGCACACUGGGAACUCCCAUGAAGGUUCUCGAUGACUUCCCCAGGACAGGUCAGCUGAAAUAGAUAGCAAUUCUCUCUUCUGACUGCUGAAAUCACUUCUUUUAAAGGGUAGGAUGAGGCUCCUCUGGCUGCUGAAGACAGUCUCCUGGG
rnacentral:lncRNA from 1 species